GACGAACGCUGGCGGCGUGCUUAACACAUGCAAGUCGAACGGAAAGGCCCUGCUUUUGUGGGGUGCUCGAGUGGCGAACGGGUGAGUAACACGUGAGUAACCUGCCCUUGACUUUGGGAUAACUUCAGGAAACUGGGGCUAAUACCGGAUAGGAGCUCCUGCUGCAUGGUGGGGGUUGGAAAGUUCGGCGGUUGGGGAUGGACUCGCGGCUUAUCAGCUUGUUGGUGGGGUAGUGGCUUACCAAGGCGUUGACGGGUAGCCGGCCUGGGAGGGUGACCGGCCACAUUGGGACUGAGAUACGGCCCAGACUCCUACGGGAGGCAGCAGUGGGGAAUAUUGCACAAUGGGCGGAAGCCUGAUGCAGCAACGCCGCGUGCGGGAUGACGGCCUUCGGGUUGUAAACCGCUUUCGCCUGUGACGAAGCGUGAGUGACGGUAAUGGGUAAAGAAGCACCGGCUAACUACGUG
rnacentral:rRNA from 1 species